rnacentral:rRNA from 1 species
GACGAACGCUGGCGGCGUGCCUAAUACAUGCAAGUCGAGCGAAUCAAUAGGAGCUUGCUCCUGUUGGUUAGCGGCGGAUGGGUGCGUAACACGUGGGCAACCUGCCUGUAAGACUGGGAUAACACCGGGAAACCGGUGCUAAUACCGGAUAAUCCUUUUCCUCUCAUGAGGAAAAGCUGAAAGUCGGUUUCGACUGACACUUACAGAUGGGCCCGCGGCGCAUUAGCUAGUUGGUGAGGUAAUGGCUCACCAAGGCGACGAUGCGUAGCCGACCUGAGAGGGUGAUCGGCCACACUGGGACUGAGACACGGCCCAGACUCCUACGGGAGGCAGCAGUAGGGAAUCUUCCACAGUGGACGAAAGUCUGAUGGAGCAACGCCGCGUGAGCGAUGAAGGCCUUCGGGUCGUAAAGCUCUGUUGUUAGGGAAGAACAAGUACCGGAGUAACUGCCGGUACCUUGACGGUACCUAACCAGAAAGCCACGGCUAACUACGUGCCAGCCGCCGCGGUAA